CCAUGUAGCAGCUGAGACUCCACCGAGGGCGCCUUCAAUGCUACUUCAGCCGGGAUUCUCGCGUCAAAGAGCCUAGCACUGAGAUCGCUAGGAUGCUCAAGAGAUGACUGCAUACAGAGGAUAGAGAUGUUCAUAUCUUGAUUUUUUCGUUCGCUAUGGUAAUGGCAGUUUGUCAUUUCCAUGUAUUUAUUGAUUAAAUUCAGUUUGCCUCGGCUAACUGAACCAGCAUAGAGUAUUAGCACCUAAGUCCAUUUAAAUUAUUGGACAUGAGCUGACUUAUUUGUAGAGUCACAAUCUUUCCUUUUACUGAAGUUCCAAUAUUUUCCAUUUGAAAUUUUGGCAAAACCUGGCAAUCUUACCCUUGCUUUAAGGGAAAUAUGAAGAAUCUUGUGAAAGCUGAAGGUGUAGAUUCAGUUCAAGCUCAA